UCAAUGAUUUUUUUACGUGCGUAGGAAAAUUUCCUAAUAUGCAGACCAUAUUUACCUGAGACAAGUGAAUUAUGUUCAAUGGCUCGAAUCUCAGAAUAUUUACGUUUCACGGAACUUGUACAUAUUCUCGUUUAUCGCUAUCAUUCCGCAUUACAUCAUGAAUAUAUUAUAUGUCGGAACAUUGGAAGUGCAUUUAAAAAAACAUAAAAACAAUAAAUACUUGGCGAUGGACAAUACUUCUACAAGAUUAAAAAAACUUCAUUACUGAUUGAUGAUCGGCAAUCAUGAUCUACUCUACUAUUCAGAAAACUUCAUUACCAACUGGUGGUCAACAUAGUCAAAGGUAACUGCAAUAACAUCGGAGGGUACUUAGCACGAUUUAAACACAGCAUUUCUUAAAUCACAUGAAGAAAAUCUCCCCAUUGACCAAGCCUUGAAUGCUGAAAUUUAUAAAACAAUCGAAGUGACUGUGAGGAAGGACUUCCCAAAUUCUUUUAAACGAACGAAAAUGAAUCGAGUCAUUAAUGUAAAAUCAAUAAGCUUAGAGGUGAAGCAAGAAACGCUGCCAGACGUGCUGCUGGGGUUCGUGGUGCUGCA